rnacentral:lncRNA from 1 species
GCGGUUUAGAUAUAUGGAAUUGCCAAAAAAGCUUACGAAUCCAACACUUUAUUGUACGUUCUUUUCGGGUAUUUGUUUUCUUCAGUACAAUAGUAGUAGUACUGUCAUGUAACUGUAUAUUUUUCCAGUACACAUUGCUCAAUUUGUCCAUAAUGCUUAUGUUAACAUCCAAUGUCGGUACCAGGUUAGGCCCCAAGAUGGUAAAGGCUGCAGGGGCGGAUCCAAAAAUUU